rnacentral:lncRNA from 1 species
GGGGUAUGGAAACAAAAUAUGGUCCACCAUCUCACAUCACUACAGCCGCUCUAUAGCUACCCUUCAAGAUCUGUAUCUAGGUUACAUGGCAAAAACAAAAAAUAAGAAAUCCCCAAGCGAUAUUCCUUCAUGCAGCGAACAAGAGGAUCUCCAUUCGUCAUCUAUAAGCUAUGAGUACGAGGGAGUUUGAUGUUGAACAACAUAAGAAGAGUUCUAUAUGGA